rnacentral:lncRNA from 10 species
AAAUCCAGCACGAGGGGCAUCUGGGAACAGGGUUUCUGCCAGCCCCACCUUGGGGCCGCAUUUGGCGGGAACUGGAUCUGCCUUCACCUGCAGCCCUGUGCGGGGCGUGACGGAAAGAGCGGGGAGAGGGGCGUCCUGGUGCGGGGGUUGUUGAGCUUGGACACCAGCCCUGAAGCAGGGAAAAGACAGAUGUACUAAUUGUCAUGGAUGGCAAACUGUGCCCCCAAACUUGUACCAAGCCUCAAAGCCUUGGUUUAAUACUCCUGAAGGAGUAAUAGACCCAAUGUGACAUUUUGCAUGCAGGAACCCCUUAACAGCUACCUCCAUAUUAUGCGUGCUUCAUGAAUGGAGACACCUACGUUAUAUGAAGUUCUCUAUUGGGCUGUAAACUUCCUGAGACAGGCCUUCUGGGAAAUUACUCUCUACAUCCCAGGACUGCAAUGUCCAGUGCAGACCCGUGCAUUUAGAUGUUUCCAAAAUAGCAGUUGUUUCCGCGGCAUUAUGUUCUGCUGGCCUAGAGGUCUUAGUUCCAGAGGGAGGAAUGCUGCCACCAAGAGACACAACAAU